CCUACGGGGGGCAGCAGUAGGGAAUAUUGCUCAAUGGGGGAAACCCUGAAGCAGCAACGCCGCGUGGAGGAUGAAGGUUUUCGGAGUGUAAACUCCUUUUGUUAGAGAAGAUAAUGACGGUAUCUAACGAAUAAGCACCGGCUAACUCCGUGCGAGCAGCCGCGGUAAUGCGGAGGGUGCAAGCGUUACUCGGAAUCACUGGGCGUAAAGAGCGCGUAGGCGGGAUAGCAAGUCAGAUGUGAAAUCCUAUGGCUUAACCAUAGAACUGCAUUUGAAACUGUUAUUCUAGAGUAUGGGAGAGGUAGGUGGAAUUCUUGGUGUAGGGGUAAAAUCCGUAGAGAUCAAGAGGAAUACUCAUUGCGAAGGCGACCUGCUAGAACAUAACUGACGCUGAGGCGCGAAAGCGUGGGGAGCAAACAGGAUUAGAUACCCGAGUAGUC
rnacentral:rRNA from 1 species